rnacentral:rRNA from 1 species
GAGUUUGAUCCUGGCUCAGAAUAAACGCUGGCGGCGUGCUUAACACAUGCAAGUCGAGCGAGAAAGUCCUUCGGGAUGGGUACAGCGGCGGACGGGUGAGUAACGCGUGAGAAUCUGCCCUUUAGUGAGGAAUACCUUCGAGAAAUCGAAGUUAAUACUGCAUAAGUCCCUUCGGGGAGAAAGCUGGCCUCUUUGCUAGCGCUAAAGGAUGAGCUUGCGUACUAUUAGCUAGUUGGUGAGGUAAUGGCUCACCAAGGCGAUGAUGGUUAGCCGGCCUAAGAGGGCGUACGGCCACACUGGAACUUAGACACGGUCCAGACUCCUACGGGAGGCAGCAGUGGGGAAUAUUGCGCAAUAGGCGAAAGCCUGACGCAGCGACGCCGCGUGGAGGAUGAAGGUCUUCGGAUUGUAAACUUCUAUUAAGUGGGAAGAAAUACCCAUCUCUUAUACAGAUGGGGGAUGACGGUACCAUUAGAGAAAGCACCCGGCUAAACUCGUGCCAGCAGCCCGCGGUAAUACGAGUGGGUGCAAGCGUUAUUCGGAUUUAUUGGGCGUAAAGGGUGUGUAGACGGUAUAUCAAGUCAACUGUUUAAUUCUCCGGCCUAACCGGAGGUCAGCGGUAGAAACUAAUAUGCUAGAGGGUGGAAGAGAGAAGUGGAAUUCUCGGAGUAGCGGUAAAAUGCGUAGAUCUCGAGAGGAACACCAAUGGCGAAGGCAGCUUCUUGGUCCAUACCUGACGUUGAAACACGAAAGCGUGGGGAGCAAACAGGAUUAGAUACCCUGGUAGUCCACGCUGUAAACGAUGAUCACUAGACGUUAGUUCCGUUUACGGAAUUAGUGUCGUAGCUAACGCGUUAAGUGAUCCGCCUGGGGACUACGGUCGCAAGAUUAAAACUCAAAGGAAUUGACGGGGGCCCGCACAAGCGGUGGAACAUGUGGUUUAAUUCGACACUACGCGAGGAACCUUACCUAGGCUUGACAUGCUUUUGACCGUCGUAGAAAUACGAUUUUUUGGGCUUCGGUCUAGACAGAUGCACAGGUGCUGCAUGACUGUCGUCAGCUCGUGUCGUGAGAUGUUGGGUUAAGUCCUCUAACGAGCGCAACCCCUGCUGCCAGUUGCAAUUGCGUAAGCAAGCACUCUGGUGGGACUGCCUGGGAAACCAGGAGGAAGGUGGGGAUGACGUCAAGUCAUCAUGGUCCUUAUGCCUAGGGCUACACACGUGUUACAAUGGCCAGUACAAAGAGCUGCAAGCUUGUAAAAGUGAGCUAAUCUCAAAAAGCUGGUCUAAGUUCGGAUUGAGGUCUGCAACUCGACCUCAUGAAGUUGAAAUCGCUAGUAAUCGCAUAUCAGAAUGAUGCGGUGAAUACGUUCUCGGGCCUUGUACACACUGCCCGUCACGCCAUGAAAGCUGUUUGUACCCAAAGUUGUCUUAGCCAACCGGAAACGGAGGCGGGCACCUAAGGUAUGGAGAGUGAUUGGGGCAAAGUCGUAACAAGGUAACCGU